rnacentral:rRNA from 1 species
CGGGACGGGUGAGUAAUGUCUGGGAAACUGCCUGAUGGAGGGGGAUAACUACUGGAAACGGUAGCAAUACCGCAUAACGUCGCAAGACCAAAGAGGGGGACCUUCGGGCCUCUUGCCAUCGGAUGUGCCCAGAUGGGAUUAGCUAGUAGGUGGGGUAACGGCUCACCUAGGCGACGAUCCCUAGCUGGUCUGAGAGGAUGACCAGCCACACUGGAACUGAGACACGGUCCAG